AUGAUCGACCUCGGGCGCAACUAUCUCCUAGCGGAAGGCUUCAUCAUCAACACCAUGGAUGCGUUGGAGCACGAGACGCUGGUGGCGUUCAAAGAGAUUUCUGACAAGGGCGUGUACCCUCCGGCGUACGCCGUGGGUCCAUUCACACGGCGGCGGUGCCCCGACUCCGACGAGGUCAAGCACAGCUGCUUACGGUGGCUGGACAACCAGCCGGGCGGCUCGGUCUUGUACGUGUCCUUCGGCAGCGGUGGCACGCUGUCCACGGCGCAGACGGCCGAGCUGGCGGCUGGGCUGGAGGCGAGCGGGCAGAGGUUCCUCUGGGUGGUGCACCACCCCAACGAAAAGGACAGCAGCGCGGCCUACCUCGGCACUGCCGCUACCGAUGCCGACCCGCUGAGCUAUCUGCCCGAUGGAUUCGUCGAGAGGAUGAACGGUACAGGGCUCCUUGUGCCACUGUGGGCGCCGCAGGUGGAGAUCCUUAACCACGUCGCCGUGGGAGGGUUCAUGUCUCAUGGCAGAUGGAACUCCACGCUGGAGACCGUGGCGGCGGGCGUGCCGAUGGUGGCGUGGCCACUGUACGCCGAGCAGAGGAUGAACGCGGUGAUGCUGUCGUCGGAUCAGGUGGGCCUGGCUUUGUGGGAGAGGCCUCCCCUAGGUAAGGACGGAGCGUUUGUCCCACAGGAGGAGGUGGCGGCGCUGGUCAGAGAGCUUAUGGAAGGGGAGAAGGGCGCCGCGGCGCGGAAAAAGGCUGGUCACCUCCGGGAUGAAGCCGAGAUUGCUUCGGCGCCGGGUGGGCCGCAGGAUCGAGCUCUCACGGUAGUGGCUGGCAUAGUUUCCUUGCAUCGGAAGAGCCACGUUGUGUAA
rnacentral:rRNA from 1 species